AGUGAACGCUGGCGGUAGGCCUAACACAUGCAAGUCGAACGGCAGCACAGUAAGAGCUUGCUCUUACGGGUGGCGAGUGGCGGACGGGUGAGGAAUACAUCGGAAUCUACUUUUUCGUGGGGGAUAACGUAGGGAAACUUACGCUAAUACCGCAUACGACCUACGGGUGAAAGCAGGGGAUCUUCGGACCUUGCGCGAUUGAAUGAGCCGAUGUCGGAUUAGCUAGUUGGCGGGGUAAAGGCCCACCAAGGCGACGAUCCGUAGCUGGUCUGAGAGGAUGAACAGCCAAACUGGAACUGAGACACGGUCCAGACUCCUACGGGAGGCAGCAGUGGGGAAUAUUGGACAAUGGGCGCAAGCCUGAUCCAGCCAUACCGCGUGGGUGAAGAAGGGCUUCGGGUUGUAAAGCCCUUUUGUUGGGAAAGAAAAGCAGCAGGUUAAUACCCCGCUGUUCUGACGGUACCCAAAGAAUAAGCACCGGCUAACUUCGUG
rnacentral:rRNA from 1 species